UGACAAUUGAACGUUAUACAACUAGUAAUGCCGCUAUGUUUAGAAACUCGAAUGAGUGAUGGCAGGCGUUCUUGAGUAAUGCAAGAAGCUCAAGCAACCUGCUACAAUGUUAAGAAGAUUCUAACUUUCAUUUGCAAAAACUAAAAAAAAAAGUAACAUCUUUACUGAAAAGUUUUCUACAUCUCCAACCAAAACUUUUGAUUUUAUAGCGAACGGCGUAGCAACUCAAGCCAAGUUAAACUAGACCGAGUGUUUUAAAAUCGAUUAAGUUUAAUGGCAUUGCUCAUUAUUUUAUUGAAAAUAGGAUUUUGACGUUGGAUAAGUACACAUUGUGGCCUGGAUAUACAAAUCUGUUGUCAACAAGAAUUUAUUGAUGGGUUUAUAGGUGUUUAUGAUAUGCAAGAAAUAUAACAAUUAAAUUAUUUCUGGAG